rnacentral:rRNA from 1 species
AUGAGGGUGGCGGUGGUGGGCGGCGGGGUCAGCGGGCUGGCGGCGGCGCACGAGCUGCUUUCCGCGAACGGCGGCGUGCGCGUGACCCUGUACGAGCAGGAGGAGAGCCUCGGAGGGCAAGCCAGGACGGUGGCCGUCGACGACGGCGCCGGCGGUUGCGCCAAGCUCGACCUCGGCUUCAUGAGCUUCAACCAGGUAACAUAUCCCCACAUGAUGGAAUGGUUAGAAGGGCUCGGGGUGGAGAUGGAGAGAUCGGACAUGUCUUUCUCAGUGAGCACACAAUCGAAAGGCGGCGGCGGAGGAUGUGAGUGGGGCAAUGGCAACGGUAUCUCAGGCCUCUUGGCGCAAAAAACCAACAUAUUAAAACCCAGUUUUUGGCGCAUGGUCUCUGAGAUAAUCAAGUUCAAGAAUGAUGCACUGACGUACCUGGAGGACCAUGAACACAACCCUGAUCUGGACCAUAAUGAGACAUUGGGGCAGUUCAUUCAGUCGCAUGGAUAUUCCCUAUCGUUUCAAGAGGCUUAUCUUAUUCCAGUCUGCACAGGCAUGUGGUCAUGUUCAUCACAAGAUGUUUUCAGCUUGUCUGCUUUCUUCGUGUUGUCAUUUUGCCGUAACAAUGACCUUCUUCAGCUGUUUCGUCACACCCAGUUUCCCACUGUCAAGCCUUGUUCGCAGUCCUAUGCAAACAAGAAAAUUGAAUCUGCCAGGCCUUUCUUGGUGACACUCAACCCCCCUUGUGUUCCGGAUCAUGUACUGCUUAAAUGGAAUACAAGGCUUCCUGUUCCAUCUGUGGCUGUGGCGAAAGCUUAUCUUCAGCUUGAUCAGAUCCAGGGAAAGAGGGGAAUAUGGUUCUGUGGGACAUAUCAAGGUCAUGGCUUCUACGAAGAUGGACUAAAGUCCGGGAAAGCAGCAGCUCAAGAUUUGCUUGGGAAGAAAUGUGAGCUUCUGCUGAACCCAAAGAAGAUGAUUCCAUCAUGGACCGAGGCUGUGGCGCGCUUUCUUGUUGCAAGAUUUUUCAACCAAUACAUAUCCAUUGGUAACUUGAUAUUGGUCGAAGAAAGAGGUAGUGUGUUCACCUUUGGUAAAGCUUGCGACAAAUGCCGUGUAAAAUCUGUCAUCCAAGUUCAUGACCCCUUGUUCUAUUGGAAGGUUGCAAUAGAAGGAGGCAUGGGCUUGGCAGAAGCCUAUAUCGACGGUUGUUUCUCUGUUCUUGACAAGACAGAAGGCCUUCUGAAUCUUAUCCUGAGUAACGAUUUUUUCUCGCUUUUUCUGGAUAAAUCGAUGACAUACUCUUGUGCAGUUUUCAAGGAUAAUGAAAGCUUAGAAGCAGCCCAGCAACAUAAACUUAGCCUUCUAAUCAACAAGGCUAAAGUCAAGAGGGGGCAUCAUGUUCUUGAUAUCGGUAGCGGCUGGGGAAGUUUAGCAAUGGAAGCAGUUAAGCAAACUGGCUGCAAAUACACUGGAGUCACUUUGUCGGCGGAGCAGCAUAAAUACGCUGAGAGAAAAGUCAGAGAAGCUGGCUUAGAGGACCGCAUAAAUUUUCUGCUGUGCGACUACCGUAAAAUACCACCUUUUAAGUAUGACGCAAUCAUAAGCUGCGGUAUGAUUGAACAUGUUGGCCAUGAAUACAUGGACGAAUUUUUUGCUUGCUGCGAGUCUUACUUGGCUGAAGAUGGGAUAUUGGUCCUCCAGUUCAUCUCAGUCCCAGAGGAACGGUACGAGCAAUACAGAAAAAGGCCAGACUUCAUAAAAGAAUACAUAUUCCCUGGUGGUUGCAUUCCUUCUUUGGCCCGUAUAAUGUCUGCCAUGACCACGUCAUCAAGCAUAGAGCAUGUUGAGAAUAUUGGGCCCAAUUACUACACAACUCUGAUGCACUGGAGGGACAAUUUCAUGGCCAACAAAGAUGAAGUUUUGGCCCAGGGCUUUGAUGAAAGAUUCCUCCGUAUAUGGGAGUACUACCUCAUAUUCUCUGCGGCUGGUUUCAAGUCACGAGCACUUGGAGAUUACCAGGAAGGGACACUGGAAGGAGGUUCUAUGGAUGUGUUGUUCCUCAGAUGUUUGGAGAAGAUAUGGGAGAUGUUUCAUGAGGAGAAUUGUGGCAGAGUGAUUGACCAUGCUAAGUAUAAGAAAGAGUUGGACAAGGUGAACAAGCAGUUGGAUACACUUGGGGAUCAGUACAGUCAGCUAGUUGAGGAUGUCACCAAGAUGUUUGAUUGGGCAGAUCAGAACAACAGGGUCGUGAGUGAUGAAGAGUUCAAGCAGAAGCAGAUGGAUGUGGACAAGGACAUGGAGAAGCUAGCUACCAGCAAGGAGAAGGAUAGUGCUGACUUUGGCAAGAUGAAGCAGAUGGAGAAGCUGGCUCAGGAGCUGAAGGAGAUGAAGUGCAUUCUUAGGUCUCAGGGGGAGAUCAUUAGGAACACAAGGAAGGAGAGGGAUGAGAUGAAGAAAGAGAGGGACUGGCUGAUAGAGGAGAAGAAGAAGCUGGAGUUUCUGGUGGGUGAUCUUAUGAAAGCUGGUCAUGGCAACAAGGACAAGCUUGCCAAGAUCAAGUCAAUCCUUGAUGAGUGA